rnacentral:tmRNA from 1 species
GGGGAUGUGAGUUUUGACUUAGUUCAGAAAGUAAUGCGGCAACCAAACCCAGUUUUGAAAAAAAUCGAGACACUAACAACCAAACUGUGCCGAUGAACUUGCUUAACAGCAGUCCGGUACUUAACUACGCUGGAAUUUAAUUUCUAAACUAGUUCUUGAUCACUGCUCCAUUCAGUAAUCUCGUAAUAAAAUUGGAACUGGCUAAUUAAAGUUUGCUUAUUUUGCUUAUUAGUCUGUUAAUUCAAAAAAAAUGAACUACUGGUUAAAUGGCACCGGUUUAGGAGUGCUGUAAUCAGAAAGAACAAUCCUAAACUAUGGUUGUAGAAGUAAUUGACUGACUAACUAAGGACAUGGGUUCAAUCCCGUCAUCUCCACCA